UAUGCUCAAUUGUGGCCACUACUAUCACAGGGUUGUAAGAGUUGGGUUUCUCCUAUGAAGUCCCUCUUCAGCGUUACUGACAAUGUGCCACUCGUCGUUACCCUUCGUUUUUCGUACUUUUGAGGUUGUGCUCAUUCUUGCGAGAUCCAUAAACAUGAGCAUGCAUUCGAUGUCAUGCUUGGGAUUUCUUGUGAUCAGGGCGGUCUUCUUGAAGCUAGUAUUAGUAUUAGUGGUUUAAACAAAUUUGACGUCUAUUUGGUCUGUCUUUCUCAAUUGGUACAACUUCUGUGUUUGUUAGGCUUCAGUCUCUAUUGUACAUCGACCUGAAGGAUCGCAAAUACCAUAAAGCUGGAGUUGUAAUAAUCUCCUCAAUAUCCGCAUAGUGCAGAGAGCGUUACCGUCGCUGUCACCUCAACGGAGUAUUAUCCUACAACCUGACUUCGAGCUCUGAGAUAGGGUCACAAUGUCAAUCACGAUGCUUGUUUUUAAAAUCCAGGGCUUGGUUUGCAGUGAACGACGAUUUCGACAUAGUGUAUAUUUUUGAUACAAUCAAAAUCACCGUUGGACACAUACUAUAACGGCCACUUCAGAUGGCUAUAAGAUAUGAGGAAUGAGUCUAGAUGCAGAAUUCUCAGACAGGCGAGCCCUUCAGGGCUAUUCGUUUUCUUUGUGGUACCGAGACGAAGGUGUAUGAUUUCAAUAUCUAUAGGAGGUAGGUAAGUCUUUCAAGUCAUUGUCCAGCAAACUACCAUUAUGAUAUUUGCGCCAAAGCACCAGGUAUAUACCUUGGAAGCAUUUUAAACUUCCAAUGCGAAGUCAUGAAUAACGCCCCUUCAGUAAUUUUCUGGGAAUUAGUUCAUGAAGCACGCAUGAAGAGAGUGCCACCGUAUGCACUCUGAUGUGUGCUCGAAGAUUCUCUGCUACUUUCCUCACCUGAUUCGCUCAUAGUCCAAGAGAGGAUUUCUGGAGAUGACGUUCUUUUUGUAUUCAGGAAAGGUCAAGCAGGGGUUUAUGUGUAAGAUUUGCGUGCAAAGUCUGGGUAAAAAGAUUAGAAAAAGUUUUAUUUGCCAAUGAACAGAAGAUUCCUCGGUCGUGCUUCCUACUGGACUCAGAUGACUAAGAUCCGCACGGUUUGGAUUGCGGUGGGAUUUUUUGGUACAACUGAUGAUAAUUUAUUCCCAUUUAGGUUUUUUCCGUUUGGGCAGGGGUUCGAUAGAGAACUAAGAGGAUUGCCUUAGCUCUGACUCGACAGAAUUUGACUGCACUGUUGGAGUAAGUUUCAAUUUUCAGUUUUUUCGUAGAAUUUGUGACCAUAUUUGAACUUUAAACAACUGGUCUGCAUGAUCUGUGAUUUAGAAGCUGUCAUGUAGUUAAAAUAAUUUGAAUCACUAGAUCAGUAUGUGCUCUUUUUAAGGUUGCUUGUGGCAGGGAACAGUUGCGCUGUUGCUCUGGAUUGAAACUCGGGUCGCUGUGAGGAGAGCCGAGUGUCCUAACCAUGAAGGUUGCAAAGGAAUCAAAAAAAUUCUUCUCUUUUCUAAUAAGUCCAAUGGCUUCACACUACCCACAACUCUCACCAGCAGAUUUCAUAAUUAAGAAGUUGACGCAAUACUCAGUAUUUCAUCAUGAACUCGAGAUGGAGCAGGAAUUGAUUCUUGACAAUCGUCAAAGUUGGAGCUGCGCUGUUGACUUGAUGGAGAGCAAGUUUAUUCGUGAAGUCCACAAUCUCCAUCCGCAAGCCCAUUGUUCCUCUGAUCCUGUAGUCUGUUUUCAACUGGUGACACAUUAGUGUCCAACAAAGGUCAUUGUGCAGCGUUGACGAUCUGAGUCACAUGACCCUUGUCUGCAUGAGCUUAGAUACAAUUGUGUGCAGUGUGAGAUUAUAGUGAAAACUCACAUGCUUCAUAGGAUAUUCAAAACUGGGCUGUAGAGUUUAAGAGAAUCGUCAAAGCUUAGUUAUUUGCUGAAGCGAGACUUUAAUGACACAGUAACUCGUGCGUUAUGUGUGGCUUUCAGUCCAGAAUUACGAGGAGGACGUUCACAAGUUGCUGAUUGUUUAUGAAGAUUUUAGGGAAGUGCUGAGAUGAGCAUCCUGAAUAAGGGUUUGUGCUUUCACAUUUAUGUUGGCGUUUUUUAGAGUAGGACGUUUUAUCCAUGUUAAAUGCAUUGGGCUUUACUACUCAAGGUGAUCAAUAAGCUCCAAGCAUUAAGCUUAUAUACACUGCUCACGAAACCAAAUAGGUAGUGGCUAUUAAUUGUCUAAGCAGCGCGGUUAGCUAUUCAUCCUAAUAUGACUGUCUUCGUAUCCUGGACUAACUCUGUGACAUGUGAGUUGUCAUCGUUCUACUAAUGACAAAGCAAGCGAAGAGGACAGUUCGCUUAUUUCUAACAAUCUCAAUGUUACGCAUGUCCGUUUCAGAAAGAGAGCGUGAAUGUGGUAUAGUGGGCCGUAUUGCAUCUCAUUUGAAAGCUUACCCAAUUCUUGUCUUCCCUGUGGCUCCGAAGGAGCUAAUUGGAUUGAAAUUGGUCUACAACGCGUCUGUUCUCUCACGUUACAUCACAUGAUUGCUCGCUGGUAGUCAACGCAUUUAGGGGCUCUGGAUUUCAUAUUUAAUCUAUAUUAUGUGAAAGUUCAGAGUGAAAGACAGAAGCUCAAAAAUAAUUCAGUUUAUAAUUUUGCAGAAACGGGUGACCAAAUGUUACAUUUCCUUCCUGAAUUUAAAUAGCACGGGUUGGAGUAUUUACUACCUCACAUACAUACUUCGGCUUACUCGAUUGUUUAUCUUGUGCUGCCAGGGAUAAGUCACGUGAAUACAUAUCCUUUCCAUGAAAAUCGACAUUAAGGAAAAUUUGGGGUUCUUUUCCCCAGUUUUUUCACGAAGCUCUCUAAAGUUCUCCCUUGUGUGCCUGGCAUCAAGGAAAAUGUCGGCAAGUUUGCCAAUCAUCUGGUGUGGAAGUUCCGCAGACUUGCUUUUGUCUCCUGGUAUCUUCUGUAGAAGAAUUUUUUUCAACAUAGAAUACGUGCAACAUUGAGUUUCUUGAAGAAACGUGCUGGAGCAUAGAAGAGGAGCCAAUUAUGAAGAAGGAUGAGACCUCCUCGGAAGAAAAAUCUUCUUCAGUGUCGAUUAAGCUCCGCGAGCAGCUUGUCUAUACGUCGAUGUCAUCUAGAUCCUGCUGGAAAAAUGAUGAGGUUUCUCACACGUUCACAGGUUGGUGCUUAAGAAAUUCUUAGUUCACCAAUUACCUAAAGGUGAGCCUCUCAUGGUUGGAUAUUGGGAUUGGAGUAGCUGGGAGACGACGACUUGAUUACGUACUGUGUGAAGUCGCAAACCACAAGAACUACGAACUUAAAUUGUCUUCUGUACGUUACAUUCUCUGUGCAUACAACAUUUGAACCUUGCACUGGCUCUUGUCAAAUAUGAUGUGUGACGAUCAUUCGCAAUUCUUGUUAAAACGGGAUGUAGCUAAAAUUGAGCACACAUGGACAUUUAUCGACGUGGUCCUGGCCUUCAUCUUCA